GGACGACAGACCCAAAACCGGAGAAAUUUACCCCAAAAUCUCCCUUCAAAUCCCCCCAAAUGACCCCAAAUUGUAAUGGAAUGCCAUAAAAUGGCGGACAGACCCAAACCCAGAAGGAUUUACCCCAAGAUUUCCCUUCAAAACCCCCCAAAAGACCCCAAAAUCCCCCCAAAUGACCCCAAACCUUCACGGAAUGCCAUAAAAUGGCGGACAGACCCAAAAGCGGAGGAAUUCACCCCAAAAUCCCCCUUUGAAAUCCCGAAAUGACCCCAAACUUCAAUGGAAUGCCAUAAAAUGGCGGACAGACCCAAACCCAGAAGAAUUUACCCCAAAAUCUCCCUUCAAAACCCCCCAAAAGACCCCAAAAUCCCCCCAAAUGACCCCAAACCUUCACGGAAUGCCAUAAAAUGGCGGACAGACCCAAAAGCGGAGAAAUUUACCCCAAAAUCUCCCUUUGAAACCCCCCAAAAGACCCCAAAAUCCCCCCAAAUGACCCCAAACUUUAAUGGAAUGCCAAAAAAUGGACGACAGACCCAAAACCGGAGGAAUUCACCCCAAAAUUCCCCUCUGAAAUCCCCAAAUGACCCCAAAUCAUCAUGGAACGCCAUAAAAUGGCGGACAGACCCAAAAGUGGAGGAAUUCACCCCAAGAUUUCCCUUUGAAACCCCUCAAAAGACCCCAAAAUCCCCCCAAAUGACCCCAAACUUAAUGGAAUACCAAAAAAUGGACAACAGACCCAAAAGUGGAGGAAUUUACCCCAAAAUCCCCCUUCGAAACCCCCCAAAAGACCCCCAAAUCCCCCCAAAUGACCCCAAAUCUUCAUGGAAUGCCAUAAAAUGGUGGACAGACCCAAAACCAGAGGAAUUUACCCCAAAAUCUCCCUUUGAAACCCCCCAAAAGACCCCAAAAUCCCCCCAAAUGACCCCAAAUCUUCAUGGAACGCCAUAAAAUGGCGGACAGACCCAAAAUCGGAGGAAUUCACCCCAAAAUCCCCCUUUGAAACCCUCCAAAAGACCCCAAACCUUCAUGGAACGCCAUAAAAUGGCGGACAGACCCAAAACCAGAGGAAUUUACCCCAAAACUCCCCUUUGAAACCCCCCAAAAGACCCCCAAAUGACCCCAAACCUUCACGGAAUGCCAUAAAAUGGCGGACAGACCCAAAACCGGAGGAAUUCACCCCAAAAUCCCCCUUUUGAACCCCCAAAAGACCCCAAAAUCCCCCCAAAUGACCCCAAACUUUAACGGAAUACCAAAAAAUGGACAACAGACCCAAAACCGGAGAAAUUUACCCCAAAACCCCCCUUUGAAACCCCCCAAAAGACCCCAAAAUCCCCCCAAAUGACACCAAAUCUUCAUGGAACGCCAUAAAAUGGCGGACAGACCCAAACCCAGAAGAAUUUACCCCAAGAUUUCCCUUCAAAACCCCUCAAAAGACCCCAAAAUCCCCCCAAAUGACCCCAAACUUUAACGGAAUACCAAAAAACGGACGACAGACCCAAAACCGGAGGAAUUCACCCCAAAAUCUCCUUUUGAAACCCCCCAAAAUCCCCCCAAAUGACCCCAAACCUUCACGGAAUGCCAAAAAAUGGACAACAGACCCAAAAGCGGAGGAAUUUACCCGAAAAUCUCCCUUCGAAACCCCCCAAAAGACCCCAAAAUCCCCCCAAAUGACCCCAAACCUUCACGGAAUGCCACAAAAUGGCGGACAGACCCAAAACCAGAAGAAUUUACCCCAAAAUCUCCCUUUGAAACCCCCCAAAAGACCCCAAAAUCCCCCCAAAUGACCCCAAACCUUCACGGAAUGCCAUAAAACGGCGGACAGACCCCAAACCAGAAGAAUUUACCCCAAAAUCUCCCUUUGAAACCCCCCAAAAGACCCCAAAAUCCCCCCAAAUAACCCCAAACUUUAACGGAAUGCCAAAAAACGGACGACAGACCCAAAAUCGGAGGAAUUUACCCCAAAAAUCUCCCUUCAAAUCACCCCAAACGACCCCAAACCUUCAUGGAAUGCCAUAAAAUGGCAGACAGACCCAAAACCGGAGGAAUUUACCCCAAAAUCUCCCUUUGAAACCCCCCAAAAGACCCCAAAAUCCCCCCAAAUGACCCCAAACUUUAAUGGAAUGCCAUAAAAUGGCGGACAGACCCAAAAGCGGAGGAAUUUACCCCAAAAUCCCCCUUUGAAACCCUCCAAAAGACCCCAAACCUUCAUGGAACGCCAUAAAAUGGCGGACAGACCCAAAACCGGAGGAAUUUACCCCAAAAUCUCCCUUUGAAACCCCCCAAAAGACCCCAAAAUCCCCCCAAAUGAACCCAGAUCUUCAUGGAACGCCAUAAAAUGGCGGACAGACCCAAACCCAGAAGAAUUUACCCCAAGAUUUCCCUUUGAAACCCCUCAAAAGACCCCAAAAUCCCCCCAAAUGACCCCAAACUUUAACGGAAUGCUAAAAAACGGACGACAGACCCAAAACCGGAGAAAUUUACCCCAAAAUCUCCCUUCAAAUCCCCCCAAAUGACCCCAAAUUGUAAUGGAAUGCCAUAAAAUGGCGGACAGACCCAAACCCAGAAGAAUUUACCCCAAGAUUUCCCUUCAAAACCCCCCAAAAGACCCCAAAAUCCCCCCAAAUGACCCCAAACCUUCACGGAAUGCCAUAAAAUGGCGGACAGACCCAAAAGCGGAGAAAUUUACCCCAAAAUCUCCCUUUGAAACCCCCCAGAAGACCCCAAAAUCCCCCCAAAUGACCCCAAACCUUCACGGAAUGCCAUAAAACGGCGGACAGACCCAAAACCAGAAGAAUUUACCCCAAAAUCUCCCUUUGAAACCCCCCAAAAGACCCCAAAAUCCCCCCAAAUGACCCCAAACUUUAACGGAAUGCCAAAAAAUGGACAACAGACCCAAAAGCGGAGGAAUUUACCCGAAAAUCUCCCUUCAAAACCCCCCAAAAGACCCCAAAAUCCCCCCAAAUGACCGCAAACUUAAACGGAAUACCAAAAAAUGGACAACAGACCCAAAACCGGAGAAAUUUACCCCAAAAUCCCCCUUUGAAACCCCCCAAAUGACCCCAAACCUUCAUGGAACGCCAUAAAAUGGCGGACAGACCCAAAACCAGAAGAAUUUACCCCAAAAUCCCCCUGUGAAACCCCCCAAAUGACCCCAAACUUUAAUGGAACGCCAUAAAAUGGCGGACAGACCCCAAACCAGAAGAAUUUACCCCAAAAUCUCCCUUUGAAACCCCCCAAAAGACCCCAAAAUCCCCCCAAAUAACCCCAAACUUUAACGGAAUGCCAAAAAACGGACGACAGACCCAAACCAGAAGAAUUUACCCCAAAAUCUCCCUUCAAAACCCCCCAAAAGACCCCAAAAUCCCCCCAAAUGACCCCAAACCUUCACGGAAUGCCAUAAAAUGGCGGACAGACCCAAAAGCGGAGAAAUUUACCCCAAAAUCUCCCUUUGAAACCCCCCAAAAGACCCCAAAAUCCCCCCAAAUGACCCCAAACUUUAAUGGAAUGCCAAAAAAUGGACGACAGACCCAAAACCGGAGGAAUUCACCCCAAAAUUCCCCUCUGAAAUCCCCAAAUGACCCCAAAUCAUCAUGGAACGCCAUAAAAUGGCGGACAGACCCAAAAGUGGAGGAAUUCACCCCAAGAUUUCCCUUUGAAACCCCUCAAAAGACCCCAAAAUCCCCCCAAAUGACCCCAAACUUUAAUGGAAUACCAAAAAAUGGACAACAGACCCAAAAGUGGAGGAAUUUACCCCAAAAUCCCCCUUCGAAACCCCCCAAAAGACCCCCAAAUCCCCCCAAAUGACCCCAAAUCUUCAUGGAAUGCCAUAAAAUGGUGGACAGACCCAAAACCAGAGGAAUUUACCCCAAAAUCUCCCUUUGAAACCCCCCAAAAGACCCCAAAAUCCCCCCAAAUGACCCCAAAUCUUCAUGGAACGCCAUAAAAUGGCGGACAGACCCAAAAUCGGAGGAAUUCACCCCAAAAUCCCCCUUUGAAACCCUCCAAAAGACCCCAAACCUUCAUGGAACGCCAUAAAAUGGCGGACAGACCCAAAACCAGAGGAAUUUACCCCAAAACUCCCCUUUGAAACCCCCCAAAAGACCCCCAAAUGACCCCAAACCUUCACGGAAUGCCAUAAAAUGGCGGACAGACCCAAAACCGGAGGAAUUCACCCCAAAAUCCCCCUUUUGAACCCCCAAAAGACCCCAAAAUCCCCCCAAAUGACCCCAAACUUUAACGGAAUACCAAAAAAUGGACAACAGACCCAAAACCGGAGAAAUUUACCCCAAAACCCCCCUUUGAAACCCCCCAAAAGACCCCAAAAUCCCCCCAAAUGACACCAAAUCUUCAUGGAACGCCAUAAAAUGGCGGACAGACCCAAACCCAGAAGAAUUUACCCCAAGAUUUCCCUUCAAAACCCCUCAAAAGACCCCAAAAUCCCCCCAAAUGACCCCAAACUUUAACGGAAUACCAAAAAACGGACGACAGACCCAAAACCGGAGGAAUUCACCCCAAAAUCUCCUUUUGAAACCCCCCAAAAUCCCCCCAAAUGACCCCAAACCUUCACGGAAUGCCAAAAAAUGGACAACAGACCCAAAAGCGGAGGAAUUACCCGAAAAUCUCCCUUCGAAACCCCCCAAAAGACCCCAAAAUCCCCCCAAAUGACCCCAAACCUUCACGGAAUGCCACAAAAUGGCGGACAGACCCAAAACCAGAAGAAUUUACCCCAAAAUCUCCCUUUGAAACCCCCCAAAAGACCCCAAAAUCCCCCCAAAUGACCCCAAACCUUCACGGAAUGCCAUAAAACGGCGGACAGACCCCAAACCAGAAGAAUUUACCCCAAAAUCUCCCUUUGAAACCCCCCAAAAGACCCCAAAAUCCCCCCAAAUAACCCCAAACUUUAACGGAAUGCCAAAAAACGGACGACAGACCCAAAAUCGGAGGAAUUUACCCCAAAAAUCUCCCUUCAAAUCACCCCAAACGACCCCAAACCUUCAUGGAAUGCCAUAAAAUGGCAGACAGACCCAAAACCGGAGGAAUUUACCCCAAAAUCUCCCUUUGAAACCCCCCAAAAGACCCCAAAAUCCCCCCAAAUGACCCCAAACUUUAAUGGAAUGCCAUAAAAUGGCGGACAGACCCAAAAGCGGAGGAAUUUACCCCAAAAUCCCCCUUUGAAACCCUCCAAAAGACCCCAAACCUUCAUGGAACGCCAUAAAAUGGCGGACAGACCCAAAACCGGAG
ensembl:lncRNA